UGUCGAAGUUGCGGGGAUGUAGUUCGUCGUAGAUUCCUGUCACAUCCUGCGAAACCUAGUGACUUGCAAUUCCAUGUUCCAAGUUUCCAAUCGUAGUCCUUAUUUCGUCGCGUGGGUCUUUGCCGAUUGUAUCGAGUCGUAUUUUCUCCUAUGUUAUUCGCAAUGGGGAUUUUUACGGGUGGCUUAUUGGGCCUACGCCAACACUCCUGUCUCGCCGGAGGGCCAUCGUGCCAGUUCUGUUUAACGUCCCAACCAACACUGGGACGACCACGCUGAUGGGGCUACCACCUUGGAUCUAGCUGGGCGUGGUGCAGCGUUUCUUACUCAGCCGCUGGAUGCCAGAACAGACGCUGUUUGAGCCGCACCUCCUUGGUGAACAGACACUCGGAUCGUACCUCCUCAAUCUAGCUGAAGUCAGAAGGACAACAGUGCCCAGACUGCACUACCAGCUAAGCACACAACUCUUAGCUGGCGGUCUUUGUCAUCGCUUGACCCGUGGAAGCAUGAGGUAGGAACUUGUGAGGACCAGAGCUAUAUUGGACGCUCUCCUUAUCGACUCACCGUUUUGCAGCCCUUGGGCUAACCAAGCAGAGUGGAAAUUACAGUUGUGGGUUGCGCUACGUGAGUGCCCGUCGAGCCCCUUAUGCCCAAUGUAACCGACGCUGAACAACAGCUACCUACCCGUAGCUGGGCCCGCAAAUAGUAGGAAUGACAACAAGAGAGGAACAAUUGAACAUUGAGGCACAAUAGCUAGAUAGAUACAUCCUAUGCGAACGCGUGUUGUAUGAUUAUUAGCAAAUUGUAAAUUUAGUAUCAACAUUUAUAUCUAUUUGGAGUAAAAAGUGUUAAACUUGAAUUAUAUUAGAUAACACAAUCGUAGGUAACAAGUGACAUAGGAUAAACUUAGUGAAUUCGAUAAAUCCAUAUUUUUCCCAUUCUAUGUCGCAGCUAGAUUGAGCCACUUCCUCUUAUUCUUGCCUUCUUGUCCUUGUUGAACUCGAAGCUCAAACACCUACUAUAGAGCUGUGAAUGGUGAGAUAGAAUCAUGUAGUUUGUAACUUUAAACUAAUGAAUACCCUUCAAUCUAGUUCCUUACUGAACGAUUAAGCCCUUCGUUCAUGACACAAUAAGAUUUGUGUGCAAUUAGAUUGCUAGUUAAUCUAUGACAGGUAAGCCGUGUCAUAAGUACAGUCGGAUUGAAAUGCCUAAUGCUAUAUGCUCCUAGAUUAGCAGACUAAACCGUUAGACCGAAGAGGCCCAUACCCAAACCGACUGCGAUAUUGUUGUGUGGUAGCAAACACUACAGUAAGUUAGAAUGUUAAUGUUAAGUAUAAGUAAAAGUUCUAAUGUUUCGCCUUUUUAGGAAUUUUGUAAUUCUCUGCAAUCGAUCAAUAAAUUCACAAAAUUCAUUACGCACUACCACCCAACAUCUUACAAAAUUCUGUAAGACAUGUCCAAAAAGGCAUCUCCGACUGGAUCUGGAUUACACCCCGCUAUAGAAUCAAGAAACCACCUCUUCUUAGCUGGCGCCAGUGGUAGCGCACCUGGAACUCAAGGGAAUCCUCUCACCAACGAUGCUGUGGUCACCGAAUUCAGUAAUUUGGCCAUCGUGAACAACGCAGUACGCGAAGCGAAUGGAUCAGGACAAUCGGUGACGAGCUCAAGAGGCAACGCAGCUAUGGUAACAGGAGUGCCUUUCCCCCCUUCUCAGGUAACUGCUGAUGGUGGUAAUAGCAUAAGGGUCCAACACAUGGGAGCCAAACGUAAGGUAAAGUCAAGUGCUACAAUCGCGAAUUAUCCGGUCCAAUCUGUAACCAUGGUCGCGCGCGAAAAUGCCAAUCUGCGCGUACGAAUAACUCGAUUUAGUCAUUGUGAGAUGUGCAACGAACGUGAUACCAGCAGCAUGGUGCAGUGCGAUGGCUGCGAUUUGUGGUAUCAUUUCUCUUGUGUGGAAGUGACUAGUGGGAUUGCAGAUCGUAGUUGGGUCUGCCCGGCGCGCGACAAGCCCGAUGUCGACCCGCGAAACAUCAACGAAACACCACUGCAUGAACCACCGAAGACCGCUCCGGUUGAUCCACCAGUAUUGCCGGUGAACACCAGGAAGUCUACCGGUAAGGCAAGCAGCAAUCGUAGUAAUCAACGGAAGGUCGCCUUGCGGCUACAAAUGUUGGAGGAGCAAAAGCAGCUGGAGCAGAAGUUCCUUGAAGAAAAGUACCGAAUUCUAGACGAGGAGUGCGUCGAUGACGAAACCGUGGUUAGCGAAGAUGAUGUGCGGUCAAUGGAUAUGUCGAAAGUUCAAGGAUGGCUGGAUGAUACCAGCAAAUGCGGCGAAGAGGACUCAGGAUUGGUCGAGGAAGAUGGCGCACCCGAAGUACAAGCGCUUCGGCAGUCAACGUAUGCUGAAUUCAACGGACCGCGUCCAACGUUACAAGGAUUCAAUCCUCAUCAGCGAUCAACACCUCGGCAACCGGUCAGAUUCCUUGAGUUGCCGAAGCCUCUAGCACCGGUACCCGCUUCCGAGAGUAUGUUCUACCAACCAUCCGUACAACUUCCGGAGAAUACAUUUCGCCAACCGUCAUCAAAUGUGGUCUCCAACGUCCACUGCCAUCGACCGGGAGCAGCAGUCCAGUUCUACCAAGCUCUCGACCACCAGUCUUCACAACAGCAUGCAGGUCAAAUUCCCGCAGGAUACCCGACACGACGGGGACCAACAACUGCUCCAGUAAAUGAGUUUCAAUCUACAGCUGAUGGGAAUCGAAUGCGUCAAAUCGAUCCAACAUUUCGCUUCUCUCGACACCCCGAAUGCGGUCCGCGUGACGUCGAAGAAAACGUAUGCGUACUCAACCGUAGUCAGUUGGCAGCACGCCAAGCCGUUUCGAAGGAGUUGCCAGAGUUUUAUGGAAAUCCGGAGGAUUGGCCGUUGUUUUUCUCCAUGUACAACUCUUCGACGCAAAUGUGUGGGUUUUCCAAUGAGGAAAAUAUGCUUCGACUCCGGAAAUGCCUGAAGGGAAAAGCGCUUGAAGCCGUACGGUGUCGAUUGCUGCAUCCGUCCAUUGUGAGCAGUGUAAUUUCCACCUUGAAAAUGUUAUACGGCAGGCCGGAAGCUAUCGUUCAAGCAGCCAUAAGGAAAAUCAGGUCAUUGCCAUCACCGCAAGUAGAGAAGCUCGACACUGUGGUAAACUUCGCAUUAACGGUCGAAAACUUGGUCGCCACAAUUGAGGCAUGCGGAAUUGAGGACUUUGUAUACAACGCGUCCUUGAAAAUGGAACUGGUGGAUCGUCUUCCUCCGGCAUUGAAGUUGGAUUGGGCGAAACACUCUCGACAUAACCCAGCACCCAACCUUUUGGACUUCAGUGGAUGGCUGUAUUCGAUUGCUGAGGAUGCCAGUGCAGUUAUGCAGACUUCGAUAAGCGGUGGAAGAGGCCGUGGAUCCAAGAGCGAUGGAUUUGUAAACCUUCAUUCUGAAACGGAGAUUGAACGCACGAGGACAUCACACGACAAGCAAAGAGAGCCUCCGACUUUUCAAGACUGUGUUUCAUGCAAAGGCAGCUGUACGUCAGUUGCCAAAUGUAAACGGUUUGCAGAGCUGAGCUUAGAUGCAAAGUGGGCCGUUGUUCGAGACGCAAAACUGUGCCGUAAAUGCUUGCGGAAGCACAAUGGAUCCUGCAGGCAACAGAAACCUUGCGGAGUUAAAGGAUGUACAUUUCUGCAUCAUCCGUUGUUGCAUAACAAGUUGCAGGAAACUGAAAAGGAUCGAUCUGAUCGAGUACUAGUAACUACUACCGGGAGCUGCAACGUUCAUCAAGUUCAAACCAGCGAGGUUCUUUUCCGGAUUGUUCCUGUACUGCUAUAUGGACCUUCGAAGGUAGUCCAGACGUAUGCCUUUAUCGACGAUGGUUCAGAACUGACGCUAAUGGAGGACAGUUUGGCAGAGGAACUUGGAGUUGAAGGCCCUCGUACAUCGUUAUGUUUAAAGUGGACCGGAGGCACCAAGAGAAUGGAAACCGACUCGCAAAUAGUUGAGGUGGGGAUCUCAUCCACCGAAAAAAUGAAGAAACCACACAGGAUGACCAAUAUACACACUAUUCAGAGUCUACAGCUUCGCCCUCAGACGUUAAUCCUGUCCGAGCUACUGCAACGUUUCCAGCACCUGAAAGGAUUGCCAAUCGCAUCUUAUACGAACGUGUGCCCGCGUAUCCUGAUUGGCCUAGACAAUGCUUCUCUAGGACAUGCACUGAAAGGUCGAGAAGGGAAACCGUACGAACCAAUCGCUGUCAAGACCCGUUUAGGUUGGAUAGUUUAUGGUAGUUUUUCACGUGCACAGCAAGAUGUAAGCUACGUGAACGUGCACACAAUCGAGGUAUGCGAGUGCAACAGUAUGUCUGAUGACAAUCUCCAUGCUGCGGUGAAAGACUACUUCGCCCUGGACAGCCUCGGAAUAGCGAAACCUAGUAAGAUUCUACAAUCAACGGAAGACGAGCGAGCAAUAGACAUCCUGGAAACGCAGACGAAUCAAAAGGAGCGGCGGUACGAAUCCGGAUUGCUUUGGAAGUAUGAUGACGUCCGCUUCCCAAACAGUAAAGGAAUGGCCUACAGAAGAUGGCAGUGUUUGGAUCGACGUAUGCAACGUGACAAAACUUUUUCGGAUACAGUAAGAACGAAAAUGGCCGACUAUAUGAGUAAAGGAUACGUUCGAAGGUUGACGGAUGAUGAGAUAAACGCACGACAAUCCCGGGAGUGGUAUUUACCCAUAUUCCCGGUAAUAAAUCCCAACAAACCGGGAAAAGUGAGACUGGUGUGGGAUGCAGCUGCCGCCGCAUAUGGCGUUUCUUUAAAUUCACUUUUACUCAAGGGCCCGGAUCUUUUGACGUCACUUCUCACCGUUCUCUUGCAGUUUCGACAAUUCCGAAUUGCUGUUUGCGGAGAUAUUCGGGAGAUGUAUCUGCAGAUUCUGCUUAAACAGGACGUUCGUUUGUGCUUCUUCUGGAAGGACAGUGAUGAGGAUGAUAACCCUAGUGUCUACACUAUGUUGGUUUUGCCGUUUGGGGUGUCCUGCGCUCCAAGUAUUGCGCAAUACGUCAAAAAUACAAACGCUAAACGAUUCGCCGAAGAGCAUCCUACGGCUGUCCAUGCUAUAGUCGACCAACAUUACGUGGAUGAUAUGCUCGUAAGUGUGGAAGGCGAGCAAGAAGCGAUCGACCUAGCGAAAAACGUAAGGAGCAUCCAUGCCGAAGCGGGCUUCGAAAUGAGAAACUGGAUCUCUAACUGCCCGCGAGUUUUAGAAGCUCUAGAAGAACAACAAACAGAGGAGAAAGAUCUCAACAUAACCGAGGGCCUGACGACUGAAAAAGUCCUUGGCAUGUGGUGGAAUACGUCUAUCGACUGCUUCGUAUUUAAGAUCUCACCACGAUACGAUCCAGAAUUGAUGUCUGGACAGCGACGGCCUACGAAACGCGAAGUAUUGCGAACGCUUAUGAUGAUUUUCGAUCCCUUAGGGCUAAUUGGUCAUUUUCUGAUGUUCCUGAAAACGGUAUUGCAGGAGAUCUGGCGCACCUCUGUUGGUUGGGAUGAAGUCAUCGAAGAAAAACAGUUUGAAAUGUGGAUGCAGUGGCUCAAUGUUCUCCCAGACGUUGCCAAAGUAGAAAUACCACGAUGCUACAGGACCUCCACAUCGAUAGAAAGCUCGAACGAAGUACAAUUGCAUGUUUUUGUCGACGCUAGUGAGAAAGGGUUUGCUGCGGUAGCGUAUCUUCGAUUCCAGGAAGGACACACAAUCGAAACAGCAUUGGUUGGCUCAAAGACUCGUGUUGCGCCGAUAAAAUUCUUAUCAAUCCCUCGUUCGGAACUCCAAGCUUGCGUCAUCGGAGUGAGAUUUGCAAACAGCAUAAUACAAUCACUCACUGUGAAGGUCAACCGACGUUACUUUUGGACUGAUUCUAGCGACGUUAUCAGCUGGAUUCAAUCUGAUCAUCGUCGGUAUAGUCAAUUUGUCGCUUUCCGUAUAAGCGAAAUUUUGGAAGCUUCUGAUGUCGGAGAAUGGCAAUGGAUUCAGACAAAACAAAACGUCGCCGAUGAAGGAACCAAGUGGGCACGAGUUCCAGAUAUGAGCAAGACAAGCCGUUGGCUAAAUGGACCUGACUUCUUGCGGAAAGUUGAAGCAGAGUGGCCAGUAAAGCGACAAACCGCCGGAGCAACUCUAGAGGAGUUACGACCUCAUCUACUUGUACAUACAGUAAUGCCUGAACCUGUUAUCAAUACCGAAAAAUUCUCUAAAUGGACCGAACUUCUACGCAGCAUGGCCUACGUCUUCCGUUUUACUCGGAAUGCAAGGAUUUCUAAGCAGGACAGAAGCUUUGGGCCGUUAACAACUGAAGAGUUGAGUUUAAGUGAAAACUACUUCUAUCGACUUGCCCAACGAAGCGCUUACGCGGACGAAGUGGCAGUUCUACUAGACAGAAGGACGACGAAAACCUCUAAGUUGAUUUCCAAAAGCAGCUCAAUCUACCAUCUUUGCCCGUUCCUCGGUAAGGAUGACUUGCUUCGCGUGCGGGGCAGGACUGCAGCAUGCCCGUUCAUCACCCAGGAGGCUAUCAACCCCAUCAUCCUUCCGAAAGCUCACCAUGUUACUGCUUUGGUUGUCUCCUACUAUCAUAACAAAUACCAUCAUCAAAACCAUAACGUCACUAUCAACGAAUUGCGGCAAAAAUACAGCAUUCCUCAAUUGAAAGCAAUGUACAAUAAGAUCCGUCGAGACUGCCAGCGGUGCAAAAACGACUGUGCACAACCACAACCACCAGCCAUGGGGGACUUGCCCCUGUCCCGUCUAGCUGCCUACGCUCGCCCUUUUACGUAUAUGGGGGUUGACUACUUCGGUCCCUAUGUAAUCAACCUCGGACGACGUCUUGAAAAGCGGUGGGUUCUGUUGGCCACUUGCCUUACUACACGCGCUAUUCACCUCCAAAUAGUUCACACCAUGACAACGGAUUCGUGCAUAAUGGCCCUUAGAAACGUUAUGGCCAGAAGAGGGGUACCUUGUGUUAUAUACAGUGACCAUGGAACUAACUUUCAAGGGGCUAGCAAGGAAUUGGAAGAAGCUAUGGAGAACUUGGAUAAAGAGCGAUUUCAGGCGGAGUUCACAACUUCCCAUACGUCUUGGAGAUUCAUACCACCGGCUUCCCCACACAUGGGUGGCGCGUGGGAACGACUCGUGCGGAUCGUUAAACAAAACCUCGUCAAGCUGAAACCUUCAAGAACGAUGUCCCAUGAAGUUCUGGAAAAUCUAUUGACGGAAAUUGAAAACGUGGUCAAUUCACGCCCAAUGACCCAUUUACCUCUGGAUGACGACCAAUCCCCGGUAUUAACUCCCAACCAUUUUUUGCUGGGAUCUAGUAAUGGCCUACGUUCUUGGGUUCCUUUCACCGACAGCACGGAAGUGCUUAAAAACUCCUGGAAACUGUCGCAAGCUUUAGCUAAUCAGUUUUGGAAACAGUGGCUACGCGACUAUCUGCCGUAUAUUACCCGCAGAACUAAAUGGUUCACUAACGUGGACCCUAUCGGGAUCAAUGAUCUCGUUAUCAUCGUAGAUCCUAACCUUCCGCGGAAUACCUGGCCAAAAGGCCGCGUAAUUGGAGUAAAACAAGGACCAGACCAUCAGGUGAGAAGUGCUACAGUACAGACUUCCCGUGGUAUUUACGAACGACCCGCAGUGAAACUCGCCGUGCUGGACGUAGGCGUUCGAAGCAAUGCAGCUCAGGAUGAUCGCAUUCCGAGGGGGAGUGUGGGUUGCGCUACGUGAGUGCCCGUCGAGCCCCUUAUGCCCAAUGUAACCGACGCUGAACAACAGCUACCUACCCGUAGCUGGGCCCGCAAAUAGUAGGAAUGACAACAAGAGAGGAACAAUUGAACAUUGAGGCACAAUAGCUAGAUAGAUACAUCCUAUGCGAACGCGUGUUGUAUGAUUAUUAGCAAAUUGUAAAUUUAGUAUCAACAUUUAUAUCUAUUUGGAGUAAAAAGUGUUAAACUUGAAUUAUAUUAGAUAACACAAUCGUAGGUAACAAGUGACAUAGGAUAAACUUAGUGAAUUCGAUAAAUCCAUAUUUUUCCCAUUCUAUGUCGCAGCUAGAUUGAGCCACUUCCUCUUAUUCUUGCCUUCUUGUCCUUGUUGAACUCGAAGCUCAAACACCUACUAUAGAGCUGUGAAUGGUGAGAUAGAAUCAUGUAGUUUGUAACUUUAAACUAAUGAAUACCCUUCAAUCUAGUUCCUUACUGAACGAUUAAGCCCUUCGUUCAUGACACAAUAAGAUUUGUGUGCAAUUAGAUUGCUAGUUAAUCUAUGACAGAUUAGCAGACUAAACCGUUAGACCGAAGAGGCCCAUACCCAAACCGACUGCGAUAUUGUUGUGUGGUAGCAAACACUACAGUAAGUUAGAAUGUUAAUGUUAAGUAUAAGUAAAAGUUCUAAUGUUUCGCCUUUUUAGGAAUUUUGUAAUUCUCUGCAAUCGAUCAAUAAAUUCACAAAAUUCAUUACGCACUACCACC